rnacentral:rRNA from 1 species
GACGAACGCUGGCGGCGUGCUUAACACAUGCAAGUCGAACGGUGAACGAGGGAGCUUGCUCCCUCCGGAUCAGUGGCGAACGGGUGAGUAACACGUGAGCAAUCUGCCCCGAACUCUGGGAUAAGCGUUGGAAACGACGUCUAAUACCGGAUACGACGCGGGUGGGCAUCCUCUCCGCGUGGAAAGAACUUCGGUUCGGGAUGAGCUCGCGGCCUAUCAGCUUGUUGGUGAGGUAACGGCUCACCAAGGCGACGACGGGUAGCCGGCCUGAGAGGGUGACCGGCCACACUGGGACUGAGACACGGCCCAGACUCCUACGGGAGGCAGCAGUGGGGAAUAUUGCACAAUGGGCGCAAGCCUGAUGCAGCAACGCCGCGUGAGGGACGACGGCCUUCGGGUUGUAAACCUCUUUUAGCAGGGAAGAAGCGAAAGUGACGGUACCUGCAGAAAAAGCACCGGCUAACUACGUG